UACGUAGGGACCAAGCGUUGUUCGGAUUUACUGGGCGUAAAGGGCGCGUAGGCGGCGUGUUAAGUCACUUGUGAAAUCUCUGAGCUUAACUCAGAACGGUCAAGUGAUACUGAUGUGCUAGAGUGCAGAAGGGGCAACCGGAAUUCUUGGUGUAGCGGUGAAAUGCGUAGAUAUCAAGAGGAACACCUGCGGCGAAGGCGGGUUGCUGGGCCGACACUGACGCUGAGGCGCGAAAGCUAGGGGAGCGAACGGG
rnacentral:rRNA from 1 species